rnacentral:tRNA from 1 species
AUUUAUAUAAUUUAUAUAGAAUAUUGCAUUGAAGCUGCAAAAGAGGCAUUAGUUGCCUGUAAAUA